UACGGAAGGGGCAAGCGUUGUCCGGAAUCACUGGGCGUAAAGCGCGUGUAGGCGGUACGGCAAGUCUGCUGUGAAAGCCCUCGGCUUAACCGGGGGGAGGUCGGUGGAAACUGCCGCACUGGAGGACGGUAGAGGGGGGGGUGGAAUUCCCGGUGUAGUGGUGAAAUGCGUAGAGAUCGGGAGGAACACCUGUGGCGAAGGCGGCCCCCUGGGCCGGCCCGCUGACGCUGAGACGCGAAAGCGCGGGGAGCGAACGGG
rnacentral:rRNA from 1 species